rnacentral:rRNA from 1 species
UGAGUAUUUGGUCGUAGACCCGAAACCAGGUGAUCUACCCUUGGUCAGGUUGAAGUUCAGGUAACACUGAAUGGAGGACCGAACCGACUUACGUUGAAAAGUGAGCGGAUGAACUGAGGGUAGCGGAGAAAUUCCAAUCGAACUUGGAGAUAGCUGGUUCUCUCCGAAAUAGCUUUAGGGCUAGCCUCAAGUGAUGAUUAUUGGAGGUAGAGCACUGUUUGGACGAGGGGCCCCUCUCGGGUUACCGAAUUCAGACAAACUCCGAAUGCCAAUUAAUUUAACUUGGGAGUCAGAACAUGGGUGAUAAGGUCCGUGUUCGAAAGGGAAACAGCCCAGACCACCAGCUAAGGUCCCAAAAUAUAUGUUAAGUGGAAAAGGAUGUGGCGUUGCCCAGACAACUAGGAUGUUGGCUUAGAAGCAGCCAUCAUUUAAAGAGUGCGUAAUAGCUCACUAGUCGAGUGACACUGCGCCGAAAAUGUACCGGGGCUAAACAUAUUACCGAAGCUGUGGAUUGUCCUUUGGACAAUGGUAGGAGAGCGUUCUAAGGGCGUCGAAGCAUGAUCGCAAGGACAUGUGGAGCGCUUAGAAGUGAGAAUGCCGGUGUGAGUAGCGAAAGACGGGUGAGAAUCCCGUCCACCGAUUGACUAAGGUUUCCAGAGGAAGGCUCGUCCGCUCUGGGUUAGUCGGGUCCUAAGCUGAGGCCGACAGGCGUAGGCGAUGGAUAACAGGUUGAUAUUCCUGUACCACCUAGUAUCGUUUUAAUCGAUGGGGGGACGCAGUAGGAUAGGCGAAGCGUGCUGUUGGAGUGCACGUCCAAGCAGUAAGGCUGAGUGUUAGGCAAAUCCGGCACUCAUAAGGCUGAGCUGUGAUGGGGAGAGGAAAUUGUUUCCUCGAGUCGUUGAUUUCACACUGCCGAGAAAAGCCUCUAGAUAGAUAACAGGUGCCCGUACCGCAAACCGACACAGGUAGUCAAGAUGAGAAUUCUAAGGUGAGCGAGCGAACUCUCGUUAAGGAACUCGGCAAAAUGACCCCGUAACUUCGGGAGAAGGGGUGCUCUUUAGGGUUCACGCCCAGAAGAGCCGCAGUGAAUAGGCCCAAGCGACUGUUUAUCAAAAACACAGGUCUCUGCUAAACCGUAAGGUGAUGUAUAGGGGCUGACGCCUGCCCGGUGCUGGAAGGUUAAGAGGAGUGGUUAGCUUCUGCGAAGCUACGAAUCGAAGCCCCAGUAAACGGCGGCCGUAACUAUAACGGUCCUAAGGUAGCGAAAUUCCUUGUCGGGUAAGUUCCGACCCGCACGAAAGGCGUAACGAUUUGGGCACUGUCUCAACGAGAGACUCGGUGAAAUCAUAGUACCUGUGAAGAUGCAGGUUACCCGCGACAGGACGGAAAGACCCCGUGGAGCUUUACUGUAGCCUGAUAUUGAAAUUCGGCACAGCUUGUACAGGAUAGGUAGGAGCCUUUGAAACGUGAGCGCUAGCUUACGUGGAGGCGUUGGUGGGAUACUACCCUAGCUGUGUUGGCUUUCUAACCCGCACCACUUAUCGUGGUGGGAGACAGUGUCAGGCGGGCAGUUUGACUGGGGCGGUCGCCUCCUAAAAGGUAACGGAGGCGCUCAAAGGUUCCCUCAGAAUGGUUGGAAAUCAUUCAUAGAGUGUAAAGGCAUAAGGGAGCUUGACUGCGAGACCUACAAGUCGAGCAGGGUCGAAAGACGGACUUAGUGAUCCGGUGGUUCCGCAUGGAAGGGCCAUCGCUCAACGGAUAAAAGCUACCCCGGGGAUAACAGGCUUAUCUCCCCCAAGAGUUCACAUCGACGGGGAGGUUUGGCACCUCGAUGUCGGCUCAUCGCAUCCUGGGGCUGUAGUCGGUCCCAAGGGUUGGGCUGUUCGCCCAUUAAAGCGGUACGCGAGCUGGGUUCAGAACGUCGUGAGACAGUUCGGUCCCUAUCCGUCGUGGGCGUAGGAAAUUUGAGAGGAGCUGUCCUUAGUACGAGAGGACCGGGAUGGACAUACCUCUGGUGUACCAGUUGUCGUGCCAACGGCAUAGCUGGGUAGCUAUGUAUGGACGGGAUAAGUGCUGAAAGCAUCUAAGCAUGAAGCCCCCCUCAA